GGAUAUGAUCAUUUGACUCGAUGGAACGCAGUUUUCCCUGCAAAAUGCAAGAUCAGAACAUCCAUGUCAAACUCUGCAAGACAACUAUGGAAUCACUAAAAUUAGAUGAGUAGCCUAAUUAACAAAUUUUCCCUACUAAUUCUCUAAUUAUUGGGAAAAUCUUAGGUGUUUAUUCAACUUCAACAGCCAGUAACUCCCGAGGCUACGUGUGGUUUUCCUCACUCCCCGCAGCAAUCUUACCGAAUUACAGGUUUAUUAACAAUUAGUGAUUAGCAUCCACACAGCUCUGUCU
rnacentral:lncRNA from 1 species